rnacentral:misc_RNA from 1 species
GAUGAAGAACGCAGCGAAAUGCGAUACGUAAUGUGAAUUGCAGAAUUCAGUGAAUCAUCGAGUCUUUGAACGCACAUUGCGCCCCCUGGUAUUCCGGGAGGCAUGCCUGUCCGAGCGUCAUUGCUGCCCUCAAGCACGGCUUGUGUGUUGGGCCUCCGUCCUCCUCCCGGGGGACGGGCCCGAAAGGCAGCGGCGGCACCGCGUCCGGUCCUCGAGCGUAUGGGGCUUCGUCACCCGCUCUUGUAGGCCCGGCCGGCGCUUGCCGACACAUCAAUCUUUUUUCCAGGUUGACCUCGGAUCAGGUAGGGAUACCCGCUGAACUUAAGCAUAUCAAUAAGCGGAGGA